GAUGAACGCUAGCUACAGGCUUAACACAUGCAAGUCGAGGGGAAACGACAUCGAAAGCCUGCUUUUGAUGGGCGUCGACCGGCGCACGGGUGAGUAAUGCGUAUCCAACCUGCCCACCACUUGGGGAUAACCUUGCGAAAGUAAGACUAAUACCCAAUGACGUCUCUAGAAGACAUCUGAAGGAGAUUAAAGAUUUAUCGGAGAUGGAUGGGGAUGCGUCUGAUUAGCUUGUUGGCGGGGUAACGGCCCACCAAGGCGACGAUCAGUAGGGGUUCUGAGAGGAAGGUCCCCCACACUGGAACUGAGACACGGUCCAAACUCCUACGGGAGGCAACAGUGAGGAAUAUUGGUCAAUGGGCGAGAGCCUGAACCAGCCAAGUAGCGUGCAGGAUGACGGCCCUAUGGGUUGUAAACUGCUUUUAUAAGGGAAUAAAGUGAGUCUCGUGAGACUUUUUGCAUGUACCUUAUGAAUAAGGACCGGCUAAUUCCGUGCCAGCCGCCGCCGUAA
rnacentral:rRNA from 1 species